UACGUAGGGUGCAAGCGUUGUCCGGAAUUAUUGGGCGUAAAGAGCUCGUAGGCGGCUUGUCGCGUCGAUUGUGAAAACCCAGGGCUCAACCCUGGGCCUGCGUUCGAUACGGGCAAGCUAGAGUAUGGCAGGGGAGACUGGAAUUCCUGGUGUAGCGGUGAAAUGCGCAGAUAUCAGGAGGAACACCGGUGGCGAAGGCGGGUCUCUGGGCCAUUACUGACGCUGAGGAGCGAAAGCGUGGGGAGCGAACAGG
rnacentral:rRNA from 1 species